GACGAACGCUGGCGGCGUGCCUAAUACAUGCAAGUCGAACGCUGAAGGAGGAGCUUGCUUCUCUGGAUGAGUUGCGAACGGGUGAGUAACGCGUAGGUAACCUGCCUGGUAGCGGGGGAUAACUAUUGGAAACGAUAGCUAAUACCGCAUAAUAGCAGUUGUUGCAUGACAACUGUUUGAAAGGUGCAAUUGCACCACUACCAGAUGGACCUGCGUUGUAUUAGCUAGUUGGUGGGGUAACGGCUCACCAAGGCGACGAUACAUAGCCGACCUGAGAGGGGGAUCGGCCACACUGGGACUGAGACACGGCCCAGACUCCUACGGGAGGCAGCAGUAGGGAAUCUUCGGCAAUGGACGGAAGUCUGACCGAGCAACGCCGCGUGAGUGAAGAAGGUUUUCGGAUCGUAAAGCUCUGUUGUAAGAGAAGAACGAGUGUGAGAGUGGAAAGUUCACACUGUGACGGUAUCUUACCAGAAAGAGACGGCUAACUACGUG
rnacentral:rRNA from 1 species